GACGAACGCUGGCGGCGUGCUUAACACAUGCAAGUCGAACGCUGAAGCUUGGUGCUUGCUCUGGGUGGGUGAGUGGCGAACGGGUGAGUAAUACGUGAGUAACCUGCCUUUGACUCUGGGAUAAGUCUGGGAAACUGGGUCUAAUACUGGAUAUGACAUGCCACUGCAUGGUGCUGUGGGGAAAGGGGUUUCUCGGGUUUGGAUGGGCUGACGGCCCAUCAGCUUGUCGGGGGGGUAAUGGACCACCAACGCGACGACGGGUAGCCGGCCCGAGAGGGUGACCGGCCACACUGGGCCUGCGGGACGGCCCAGUCUCCAACGGGAGGCAGCAGUGGAGAAUAUUGCACAAUGGGCGGAAGCCAGAUGCGGCGACGCCGCGUUCGGGAUGCCGGCCUUCGAGGUAUAAACCUCUUUCAGCACGGAAGAAGCGAGAGUGACGGUACCUGCAGAAGAAGCGCCGGCUAACUACGUG
rnacentral:rRNA from 1 species